rnacentral:tRNA from 1 species
AGUUAACAAGCUUUAAGAAAGCAUGUACCUUGAAAGUACAAGACAAAGGUUAAAUCCCUUUAUUAACUU